GAUUUCUGGUUUGAUGCGUUUGGCCCUGUCGGGUCUACUCGAUAUGUGUGCCGAUGCGCGUCUGCCAUCCUUGUAGAGAACGUUUCUACCCUUCACUGGGCCGGAUUCGCGAUCUACAUCUUUUACUUUGAAAAAAUUAGAGUGUUUAAAGCAGGCUUGUGCUAUGAAUACAUUAGCAUGGAAUAAUAAUUUAGGACUUUAGCCCUAUUUUGUUGGUUUCUAGGACUGAAGUAAUGAUUGAUAGGGAUAGUUGGGGGUGCUAGUAUUCAGCGGCCAGAGGUGAAAUUCUUGGAUUCGCUGAAGACUAACUUAUGCGAAAGCAUU
rnacentral:rRNA from 1 species